UACAGGGGGGGCAAGCGUUGUCCGGAAUCAUUGGGCGUAAAGAGCGUGUAGGCGGCUUGGUAAGUCCGCUGUGAAAGUCCAGGGCUCAACCCUGGAAUGCCGGUGGAAACUGUCAAGCUUGAGUCCGGAAGAGGCGAGUGGAAUUCCUGGUGUAGCGGUGAAAUGCGCAGAUAUCAGGAGGAACACCAAUGGCGAAGGCAGCUCGCUGGGACGGUACUGACGCUGAGACGCGAAAGCGUGGGGAGCAAACAGG
rnacentral:rRNA from 1 species